GCAACAUCCUGCUGAGGUAAGGUGCAACAUCCUGCUGAGGUAAGGUGCAACAUCCUGCUGAGGUAAGGUGCAACAUCCUGCUGAGGUAAGGUGCAACAUCCUGCUGAGGUAAGGUGCAACAUCCUGCUGAGGUAAGGUGCAACAUCCUGCUGAGGUAAGGUGCAACAUCCUGCUGAGGUAAGGUGCAACAUCCUGCUGAGGUAAGGUGCAACAUCCUGCUGAGGUAAGGUGCAACAUCCUGCUGAGGUAAGGUGCAACAUCCUGCUGAGGUAAGGUGCAACAUCCUGCUGAGGUAAGGUGCAACAUCCUGCUGAGGUAAGGUGCAACAUCCUGCUGAGGUAAGGUACUACAUCCUGCUGAGGUAAGGUACUACAUCCUGCUGAGGUAAGGUACUACAUCCUGCUGAGGUAAGGUACUACAUCCUGCUGAGGUAAGGUGCAACAUCCUGCUGAGGUAAGGUACUAGGGUGCAUGAGCUUAACGUACUGGUACUACUCUCUAGACAUCACCAUAUUAUCACCAUACUUAGGUGCCGAUACCAUAUGUAUUGCAAUUCUAUAUAGUAGAUCUCCAGGAAGAGGGUUGGACUGAAAACCCACAGGACAGUAGAUCUCCAGGAAGAGGGUUGGCCUGAACCUACAGGACAGUAGAUCUCCAGGAAGGGGUUGGCCUGAAUGUACAGGACAGUAGAUCUCCAGGAAGAGGGUUGGCCUGAAUGUACAGGACAGUAGAUCUCCAGGAAGAGGGUUGGACUGAAUGUACAGGACAGUAGAUCUCCAGGAAGAGGGUUGGCCUGAACCUACAGGACAGUAGAUCUCCAGGAAGAGGGUUGGCCUGAAUGUACAGGACAGUAGAUCUCCAGGAAGAGGGUUGGACUGAAUGUACAGGACAGUAGAUCUCCAGGAAGAGGGUUGGACUGAAAACCCACAGGACAGUAGAUCUCCAGGAAGAGGGUUGGACUUACCUGGGCUACAGUCAAUGGUAGGCAGGGUAUCAGCGUGGUAGAUCAGUAGUAGUAGUGAGUUGGGCAGACCUGGGCUACAGGAAGAUCAGUAGUAGUAGUGAGUUGGGCAGACCUGGGCUACAGGCAGGGUAUCAGCGUGGUAGAUCAGUAGUAGUAGUGAGUUGGGCAGACCUGGGCUACAGGAAGAUCAGUAGUAGUAGUGAGUUGGGCAGACCUGGGCUACAGGCAGGGUAUCAGCGUGGUAGAUCAGUAGUAGUAGUGAGUUGGGCAGACCUGGGCUACAGGAAGAUCAGUAGUAGUAGUGAGUUGGGCAGAC